GGGUGGAGAGGGUGCCUGCAGCCCUGUCUCUUUGUAGGAACACAUCCCAGGAAUGCCUGCAGCCUGUGAGAUGGCCGGCCACUGGAAAGCUACAUGUUUCCCACCAAGAUUCUGAAGGGUAAAGAAUGCCCCCGGUUGUGGGACAACACACCCCAAAUGAUGAUCUGAGUUGCUAGGAAAGAAACCUGAGGUUGACAUUGAGCACACCAUCUUCUUUGUCACCAUCCAGAGAAUCUACAAAGAACCAGAUCCCUCUCCUCAACAUGAAUCCUUCUGUGCUCUUGGAACCUGAAGUUUCCAGGGUUUUUAGGUGACAGAUUUACCCAGGGGCAGAAGAUUCACUGGGGUCACAGAAGGGAGUUGGCCACUCCUAGGUGCUGAUUUGAUGUGAAAUGGACCACAGGCUAAAACUGAAUUCUGCCUGGGGUGGCUUGAAGCAGUACAGAAAGGUCCUGGAAAGUUAUGUUCUUCAUCUGUUUUGCACUGCUAUAGCAGAAUAAAUACCAUCGGGUAAUUUCUAGAAAACAGAAAUUUAUUUGGCUCAUGCAUCUGGAGGUUGAGAAGUCCAUCUGGUGAGAGCCUUCUUGUUGUAUCAACAUGGCAGAAGGCAUCAUGUGGUGGGCAAGAAGGGAUCAAAUUUGCUUUUAUAACAAACCCACUCCCUUGAUGACAAAUCCCUCUCAUGAUAACAGAAUCAACCCACCCACAGAGUCCUCGUGAUGGACUCAC